rnacentral:rRNA from 1 species
GUCUACAGCCAUGGCACCCUGAAUACACCCAAUUCUGUCUGAUCUCAGAAGCUAAGCAGGCUCAGGCCUGGUUAGUACUUGGAUGGGAGACCACCUAGGAAGACCAGAUGCUAUAGAUA